rnacentral:rRNA from 1 species
AUUGAACGCUGGCGGCAUGCCUUACACAUGCAAGUCGAACGGCAGCACGGGUGCUUGCACCUGGUGGCGAGUGGCGAACGGGUGAGUAAUAUAUCGGAACGUACCUUAUUGUGGGGGAUAACGCAGCGAAAGCUGUGCUAAUACCGCAUAAUCCCUAAGGGGGAAAGCGGGGGACCGUAAGGCCUCGCGCAAUUAGAGCGGCCGAUACCUGAUUAGCUAGUUGGUGAGGUAAAGGCUCACCAAGGCAACGAUCAGUAGCUGGUCUGAGAGGACGAUCAGCCAAACUGGGACUGAGACACGGCCCAGACUCCUACGGGAGGCAGCAGUGGGGAAUUUUGGACAAUGGGGGCAACCCUGAUCCAGCAAUGCCGCGUGAGUGAAGAAGGCCUUCGGGUUGUAAAGCUCUUUUGUCAGGGAAGAAACAGCAGCUCUAACACAGUUUGCGAAUGACGGUACCUGAAGAAGAAGCCCCGGCUAACUUCGUGCCAGCCGCCGCCGUAA